UUUUCACUUUAAGCCCUGCAUUAGGCAGUACUAAAUCUGCAAUGGAAAAUGGAGGACGGGGCACCGCGGCCGAGUGGAGCUGAGCCAAGCCGAGCAGAGCUGGUACUAGCAGUGUGUAAGAGCCAUAAGUCUCACACCAGUGCAGAGACUUGAUAAGAUAAGAUCAGAUCAGAUAAACCUUUGUUGAUUAUAUUGAUAUAUUACAUCUGAACUGGCUGACCCUGCACCAACAUCAGAAUUAUGAUUUAAUGAGUGGACUUUGUAGACUCACAUUUUUGGACAGCUGUUGUCCCAUCGUCCUGUUUGUCUGACAUGUCAAAUGAUGAAAGGAAGCACAGAUGUCUGGGGAAAUACCCGUUGUUACCUCGAUGGACUGCUGGCACUACCUUUUACCUCCUCCUGGUUAUAUAUUGGCUCUUUUACAAGCUUAUACUUUUCAAAUGACAUUUUGCUCCACAGAGAAUUGUGUCAAAAGUAAAGCAACAUGUUGCAUCUAUCCUACAACAUUCCAACACUGUGUCUGACUGGUUCUGCUCUGUACACUGCUUUUAGGCAUCCAUUAUGAUUGAAUGUGCUACACGUGUCUUAAUAAUAAACUCUAUAUUGAAAUCCA